AUCCACUUUUCCAAUUAGCAUGUUUGUUUGUGCUUAAAAGUAAAUAAAACUCGUUUUUAAGUUACUUAUUUUGCCAAAAUCGAUCUUCAAUGUUGCUUUUCUGCUAACAAAACUUUCCAAACAUGCUCAGAUUUCAUUUUACACGUAUCGUAUCGUAUCAAUUCUAAUUCCACUCACUGCCCCGGAUUUACUAUACUGGUAGAAGAAAUUUAAGUUUUAACGAAAUAGAAAAUGCAACUGAACUUGAAACAGAAUGCAAGUAAACACCACCCAGUGACUGCAACUGGGAUGCAUCACCAAAAAUAAAAUAGAAGCGGAGUCCUUUCUUCAAAUUGUUCGUCUGAUAUUGAUAUUACAGCCAGAAUUACCAGAAUAAAUUUCCUGUAAAACACACGUUCUGCUGUGAGACCUGUAAGGCUUAACCAAGAGUAGACCAGAACAGGUAAGAAUUUAGAAGUAUAAAUGGAAAUAAAACUCUUGAGCCUGUGCACUUUAGGGUCCUUGUUCAUAUUUGACAGAGAUUAAAGUUGUGAAAACUCCUGGAUAGGUGAAUCCUUUCUAGUUAGAGAAUCUUUUUCUAGCUGCUUUGGAAGAAACAUGGAUUAUUCAGGUAUUCAUGUAUGGAAACCACUGUAAACAACUAACAUAGGCUUCCACAGUCACUUGGUGAUUUU
rnacentral:lncRNA from 1 species